rnacentral:rRNA from 1 species
AACGAACGCUGGCGGCGCGUCUUAAGCAUGCAAGUCGAACGGCAAGAGAGGAGCUCGCUUCUCUCCUAGAGUGGCGGACUGGUGAGGAACACGUGGGUAAUCUACCCUUAAGAUGGGGAUAGCUGCUAGAAAUAGCAGGUAAUACCGAAUACACUCGGCAUAUCACAAGAGGUGUUGAGGAAAGGAAGCUACGGCUUCGCUUGAGGAUGAGCUUGCGUCCCAUUAGCUAGUUGGUGAGGUAAAGGCCCACCAAGGCGACGAUGGGUAUCCGGCCUGAGAGGGUGAACGGACACAUUGGGACUGAGAUACGGCCCAAACUCCUACGGGAGGCAGCAGCUAAGAAUAUUCCGCAAUGGACGGAAGUCUGACGGAGCGACGCCGCGUGGAUGAAGAAGGCUGAAAAGUUGUAAAAUCCUUUUGUUGAUGAAGAAUAAGGGUGAGAGGGAAUGCUCAUCUGAUGACGGUAAUCGACGAAUAAGCCCCGGCUAAUUACGUG